UUCCGGUCAAGAUUCUCCCACAUCGCCG
rnacentral:snRNA from 1 species